AGGACGAACGCUGGCGGCGUGCUUCAUACAUGCAAGUCGAACGAGAAAUUCACUUCGGUGGAUGGAAAGUGGCGGACGGGUGAGUAAUGUGUAGAGAAUCUGCCCUAGAGUGGGGGACAACAGUUGGAAACGACUGCUAAUACCCCAUAUGCGCGUAGUUGAGAUACUAUUCGUGAAAACUCCGGUGCUCUGGGAUGAGUCUGCAUCUGAUUAGCUAGUUGGGGGUGUAAUGGACCACCAAGGCGACGAUCAGUAGCUGGUUUGAGAGGAUGAUCAGCCACAAUGGGACUGAGACACGGCCCAUACUCCUACGGGAGGCAGCAGUAGGGAAUUUUGCGCAAUGGGGGAAACCCUGACGCAGCAACGCCGCGUGACCGAUUAAGCCCUUCGGGGUGUAAAGGUCUGUCAGUGGGGACGAAACCUGACGGUACCCACAGAGGAAGCAUCGGCUAACUCCGUGCCAGCAGCCGC
rnacentral:rRNA from 1 species